AUGUAUAAUCAUUAAGUUUCAGUUCAGUAGUAUUAUAGUGAUAUUUCUUCAUUGAUUUAUUUUGGUACAUGUUAGUUUUAUAUUUAUUUAGAUGAUAAUCUUUGUUUUCUUUAAACAGGCAGCUUCCGACCUAUCUUUAAUAAUCAUAUUAAUUAUUUUUGACUAAUAUUAUGACUUCUUAUAAUAGCUAUAAUCAUGAAAACUGUUAUUUUAGUAAUAUUGAUAUACUAACUGUAAGGACGAAAGAACCUGAGAUACUUUGAGCUCCUGAGAAACAGACAAUACAAACAUACACAGGCAUCUUCGAGACACCCCGCAGAGUGGAGGAGCAGGAGCCCUCCUCCCCUUCUGGCCAUUUGUUUCAUUUUAAAUCCCUUCACCCAUUCUUCCUUAUACUCAGUCUGCUCAAAAUGAUUACAUGAAAAUGUCAAUGCAAGUGAACUAACACUCAUGUUUAGUAUCAUUGGAAAUGUCUCAGUGCAACUGGUACAAUGGUCUCACUCUCACAAAAGUAGAUUAGAAGAUAAUACAGAUCUGAAGAGUCAGGAGAUAUCUUGAUUACUGUGAUGGGAGUGUCCUUUCCUAGGGCCCUCCAUGUAAAUUACCCCCUGUUCCCAUUGAGUUGUAAAACCACCCAGGCUUGGGACCUGAGGUAAUGCAAAUUCCAAUUGUUAGUUUCUGUCUUCAUCUCGGGGGAUGUUUGUCUUGGUCUGAGGUAUUUAAAUGAUUGCAGCAAGAGGAUCAGGGCGAUUUCUGUAGCCAGAAAGCCCGUAGUGUGUUGUGUGUCUCUUCACUUCAUACUAUGUAUUUUCUAAGGUCAGGUAUGCAUAUUUUACUUUUAGAUUCAUCUUUGAGAAUUUGAUGUUUUGUAUUGAUAUGAUUUGAUGUGUUUCAAUUGGACAUGAAAUUGGCAAAAUACAUAUCUACCUGACUGUAAAUAAAUUGUUACAUUUUGAUUCUAUUCUGUCUUACUCUGUAAUUAUUGACUAGUAGAUUACAUUGUAUCCUUGUUAGCAACAUGAGCACCCGAAUGAAUGAGUUAAUAUAAAAAUAGAGUUAACUAGAAUUAUCAAAUGUCAGAAGAAUAUUAAUUAAAAAGGCAUACAACCAAUUUGCAUUUCAACCUAAAUUCGAGGUCAUACUAAAAUGGAGUCAGAUUAAAUAAUAAAAUGGAGUCAGAUUUGAGUUUAACCUAAAAUGAAUAACUCUACGCGCUGAAAGACAGAACACGCAGGAAACCUUCAUCCAGCACCGGAUACCUUCCUUGGGCCGAGUGUCUGGACCUUACAAAGUGGUGACCCCGACGACGUGAUCUCCCUAAUUAUGCGAGUGACGUCUUUCCAGCGCUAAUUUCAAAUUGAUUCUCUCUGAAGAUAUAAGGUUUGAGCUUCUUCCCUGUCUACAACUGCUGUGGUUGACCACUGCAAUUCUUUGGAGGACAGAUACCAGGAGGGUGUCUUGUCCCCUCUGCACCAAGCCAGGACAACAGAAUUGUUACAUAACCUGAAAUGUGGGAGAUGAAUGUGAAGACACUUGAAGGGGCCAUUCACACCUCACAGGAGAACAUCACCACACAAAUAUCUACAUGGCCUCCCGGAUUAGAACCGGAACUAAAUUUUUGCAACACAGAUUGCUAUAGAUUAGACUCCAUUCAUCUCCCAGACAUGACCAUAGCACACACAUUUCACCCAUUGCAUCAUCACCUCAUCUAGACUAUCCAGUCUGUACACUACAAUCAGAAGACAAUGAUGGCUUAGAUCACAAACGUGGUACUCCACUAAAGAUCUAUUGUCCAUCAUCACACUGACAGAACCACAUAGCCUCACACACACAGGACAAUAGAAUUGAUUACAUUCCCAAAAGAUACAACAUAUCUACUAUCUGCAACUGUCUAAAAAAACUCAUGGAACAACACUGUAACACACAUUUGCACAACAAGUCACAGAUUGAUGGUGCAAAAUUUUUGAACACAGAGGCAAACAAGCCUUUACAAUUUAAAAUAUUGAAUCUUUCUGAUUGUUAUUAGGAUGGUUGACAAGCCAGAGGGCCCCUGGUUUCCCAACACAUCACUAAUGACAAUAAGCAUUAUUAAAAUGAUCAAAUAUGAAGUGCCUGCACUCUCUAUCAAUCAAUCAUAAAAUUUUAAACUUUACCAAACCAUCAACUGUGACUUAACCUUUAUAUCAGAUACCCAUUCUCUCUCUCUCUCUCACACACACACACACACACACACACACACACAUGUUACAAGGAAUUUAGGAUUUACAUUGUAGAAAAAUGUUUUAAUCGAGUUUCUAAGUCACUUCUUAAAAACCUUACAUCUUCUAAAGUGACUUUCAAUAGAAAAUUCCUGAAUUAACAGUGUGAUUAUUGUAUAUACCUUCAUAAUUGUGAUUGAAUGUUCUUAUUUUCAUUAUAUGACUUGUUUAUUGUUUGCAUACCUCUAAAUUAAUGCUCAAAUUAUACUGACCUCUUGCUGCAUUUCCUUUGAGACAUUCAUACCAAAAUGUAUGUUUACAUGGGACCACUUUUAACAUCAGAUGUACCACUUGCACUGGCUGACAUGAAUUUAUCAGGUUUCUUUUUUGUUUUAUUGCUCUUAUAUUAACUUAUGAGUUUUCUUUCUUACUCCAUGGGUGAUGACAUUAAGCUGAUCAGAAUACAGUCAUUGGAUGGCCACUAAGAUGCUUUUCAGGUGUCCCACACAAAUCAGUGUGUAAGCAAGGAGAACACCUUCACCUACUGAAGUCUGCUUAAAAACUGCACCGCUGGAGGUGAGAGGAUUCACGAAGAUGGGUCAGACUAUCGUCCUAGAAAAGGUGCCAUAAGGAGCAGAGGUUUCUCCACAAAGGAAUGACACGUAAACUGAACAAGUCGUAAAGGCUCAGAUUGACCCACUGAACUGUGCUCACAUGCUGAGCUCAACCACAGGUAGAAACCCUGGAGACAUUCAUCCACCUGCCAAACUCAAGCGACACACACAUGCUGAGACAGAGUGUUCUGCAGAUGAAUACAGCCCUCAGAAGGUUUCUAAAGCUGCUUACAUCACAAAGACAAUUUUGAGAUAACAUCUCGAAGAUAAACAAUCAUCUAACGGUGACCCCAUUGGAUUCAUCUGAAUGUGACCCAUUGGGGUCAAACGGAGGAACUGUAAGGACGAAAGAACCUGAGAUACUUUGAGCUCCUGAGAAACAGACAAUACAAACAUACACAGGCAUCUUCGAGACACCCCGCAGAGUGGAGGAGCAGGAGCCCUCCUCCCCUUCUGGCCAUUUGUUUCAUUUUAAAUCCCUUCACCCAUUCUUCCUUAUACUCAGUCUGCUCAAAAUGAUUACAUGAAAAUGUCAAUGCAAGUGAACUAACACUCAUGUUUAGUAUCAUUGGAAAUGUCUCAGUGCAACUGGUACAAUGGUCUCACUCUCACAAAAGUAGAUUAGAAGAUAAUACAGAUCUGAAGAGUCAGGAGAUAUCUUGAUUACUGUGAUGGGAGUGUCCUUUCCUAGGGCCCUCCAUGUAAAUUACCCCCUGUUCCCAUUGAGUUGUAAAACCACCCAGGCUUGGGACCUGAGGUAAUGCAAAUUCCAAUUGUUAGUUUCUGUCUUCAUCUCGGGGGAUGUUUGUCUUGGUCUGAGGUAUUUAAAUGAUUGCAGCAAGAGGAUCAGGGCGAUUUCUGUAGCCAGAAAGCCCGUAGUGUGUUGUGUGUCUCUUCACUUCAUACUAUGUAUUUUCUAAGGUCAGGUAUGCAUAUUUUACUUUUAGAUUCAUCUUUGAGAAUUUGAUGUUUUGUAUUGAUAUGAUUUGAUGUGUUUCAAUUGGACAUGAAAUUGGCAAAAUACAUAUCUACCUGACUGUAAAUAAAUUGUUACAUUUUGAUUCUA